rnacentral:rRNA from 1 species
UACGUAGGGUGCAAGCGUUGUCCGGAAUUAUUGGGCGUAAAGAGCUCGUAGGCGGUUUGUCGCGUCUGCUGUGAAAAUCCAGGGCUUAACCCUGGACCUGCAGUGGGUACGGGCAGACUAGAGUGCGGUAGGGGAGAUCGGAAUUCCUGGUGUAGCGGUGAAAUGCGCAGAUAUCAGGAGGAACACCGAUGGCGAAGGCAGGUCUCUGGGCAUUAACUGACGCUGAGGAGCGAAAGCAUGGGGAGCGAACAGG